GGGGAAUAUUGCACAAUGGGCGAAAGCCUGAUGCAGCAACGCCGCGUGAGCGAUGAAGGCCUUUGGGUCGUAAAGCUCUGUCCUUGGGGAAGAAAAAAAUGACGGUACCCUUGGAGGAAGCCCCGGCUAACUACGUGCCAGCAGCCGCGGUAAUACGUAGGGGGCAAGCGUUAUCCGGAAUUAUUGGGCGUAAAGAGUGCGUAGGUGGUUUUGUAAGCGCGGGGUGAAAGGCAACGGCUCAACUAUUGUAAGCCCUGCGAACUGUGAGACUUGAGUGCAGGGGAGGAUAGCGGAAUUCCUAGUGUAGCGGUGAAACGCGUAGAUAUUAGGAGGAACACCAGUGGCGAAGGCGGCUUUCUGGACUGUAACUGACACUGAGGCACGAAAGCGUGGGGAGCAAACA
rnacentral:rRNA from 1 species